UACGAGAGGACCGGGUUGAACAUACCUCUGGUGUACCUGUCGUUCCGCCAGGAGCGCAGCAGGGUAGCUAUGUAUGGACGGGAUAACCGCUGAAAGCAUCUAAGCGGGAAGCCUCCCUCAAGAUAAGAUUUCUUAGGACGGUGGUAGACCACCACCUUGAUAGACUGGAUGUGGAAGCGCGGUAACGUGUGGAGCUAACCAGUACUAAUUGUCCUAUUCGCGCUUGAU
rnacentral:rRNA from 1 species